AACAAACGCUGGCGGCGUGCCUAAUACAUGCAAGUCGAACGGGGAAAGCUUUCGGGUGAGUACUAGUGGCGCACGGGUGAGGAACGCGUGGAUAAUCUGCCUUAGAGUGGGGGAUAACUAGUCGAAAGAUUAGCUAAUACCGCAUAAGACCACAGGAGCUGCGGCUCUAGGGGUCAAAGGUUUUUCGCUCUAAGAUGAGUCCGCGUAAGAUUAGCUAGUUGGUGAGGUAACGGCUCACCUAGGCGACGAUCUUUAACUGGUCUGAGAGGAUGAUCAGUCACACUGGAACUGAGACACGGUCCAGACUCCUACGGGAGGCAGCAGUAGGGAAUAUUGCACAAUGGAGAAAACUCUGAUGCAGCGACGCCGCGUGAGUGAUGAAGGCCUUCGGGUCGUAAAGCUCUGUCGCAGGGGAAUAACACAAUGAAUGUACCCUGUAAGAAAGGAUCGGCUAACUUCGUGCCAGCCGCCGCGGUAAAAC
rnacentral:rRNA from 1 species